AUACGGAGGAUCCGAGCGUUAUCCGGAUUUAUUGGGUUUAAAGGGAGCGUAGGCGGGAGAUCAAGUCAGCUGUGAAAUGUAGAUGCUCAACAUCUGCACUGCAGUUGAAACUGGUUUUCUUGAGUGCGUAAGGGGCAGGCGGAAUUCGUCGUGUAGCGGUGGAAUGCUUAGAUAUGACGAAGAACUCCGAUCGCGAAGGCAGCCUGCCGGGCCGCGACUGACGCUGAAGCUCGAAGGUGCGGGUAUCGAACAGGAUUAGAUACCCUGGUAGUCCGCACAGUAAACGAUGGAUACUCGCUGUCGGCGAUAUACGGUCGGUGGCCAAGCGAAAGCGUUAAGUAUCCCACCUGGGGAGUACGCCGGCAACGGUGAAACUCAAAGGAAUUGACGGGG
rnacentral:rRNA from 1 species